rnacentral:rRNA from 1 species
AUACGUAGGGAGCGAGCGUUGUCCGGAAUCAUUGGGCGUAAAGAGCAUGUAGGUGGAUCAAUAAGUCUGCUGUGAAAGUCGAAGGCUCAACCUUCGAAAGCCGGUGGAUACUGUUGAUCUAGAGUACGGAAGAGGCGAGUGGAAUUCCUGGUGUAGCGGUGGAAUGCGCAGAUAUCAGGAGGAACACCAAUAGCGAAGGCAGCUCGCUGGGACGUUACUGACACUGAGAUGCGAAAGCGUGGGGAGC